UGGGGGAUAUUGCACAAUGGGCGAAAGCCUGAUGCAGCGACGCCGCGUGGGGGAUGAAGGCCUUCGGGUUGUAAACUUCUUUUGCUCUGAACAAGGCAUGCUAAUGGGUGUGUUGAGUGUAGGGGUUGAUUAGCGCCGGCUAACUACGUGCCAGCAGCCGCGGUAAUACGUAGGGCGCGAGCGUUGUCCGGAAUUAUUGGGCGUAAAGGGCUUGUAGGUGGCUGGUUGCGUCUGUCGUGAAAGCUCAUGGCUUAACUGUGGGUUUGCGGUGGGUACGGGCUGGCUUGAGUGCAGUAGGGGAGGCUGGAAUUCCUGGUGUAGCGGUGGAAUGCGCAGAUAUCAGGAGGAAUACCGGUGGCGAAGGCGGGUCUCUGGGCUGUUACUGACACUGAGGAGCGAAAGCAUGGGAGCGAACAGG
rnacentral:rRNA from 1 species